CCGGGACUGGGGGGCCGUGGAGGCGGCGGCCCCCAGCGACGAAGGCGAGGAGAAAGACCUGUCUGCUCUGGAUACAUUCCCCUAGGCCUGGCGCACAGUGGAGGAAGAUGCCAGGCCCGCCGGAGGACUCCCAGGUGGCCCACAGCGCCCCAGCAAACGACCAUCAUCCUGGUGGUGUGUGUGCUCUUCCUGUUCCUGGUGUUGACUGAGAUGCCCAUGGCGCUUUUCCUCUGACUACAGUGCCGUGACUGGGCUAGCAGCACAAGAGGCGACUGAUGGUGACCAAGUGCCCUCCCAGCAUCCAUUGGUACAUUUGUUGCAUUUAACCUUUGGUGAGGCUUUGCACCUAUGACCCUGAAGGAAGUCAUCAUCGAUGCAAAUGUUUUCUUUCCCACUGGGAGGGGGGCAGGGAUUUGCUGGUGCCCCCCACUGGAGGUGCAGCCUGACCUUGCAGAAGGUGGAUGUGGGUAGCUCUGGGGUGGACAGUGCUAGUAGCUUCCUGACCUGUGUCCUUGGGGUGUAGGAUACAUCUCCAGAUACUGAACCCCCAUCUUGAUCGUUUCUGGAGGAGUCUCAUGUCUGUCGAGCUUGGUGUCACGGCUGAGGACUGACUAACCCUUUUAUCUGCUGGUAAAAAAUUGGCUCCUUGACAUUUGGAAAGAGGCUGCUGUUGAGGGAUCAUGUCCUGGAUCGAGGGAGGGCUAACUCUUGACUCCCAUGUAUCCAUUGCAGUUUUUAAUUCAUCCUGAUGAUAGAUUUUGUUGCUAGAAAAUCCUCCUACUCAGCCAUUCCCAUUUUUGCCUUAAUUUACCAUGUUACCCUUCCUUUUUUGGUUCAUUUGUAAGCGUUUGACUAGUUUACUCUGCUUUUUCCAAAGAAACAGCAUCCGGAUGGAUUUAUAUCCAUUUCCCUCCAGCUUUAUUAGGUCUAAUCUUUGUAUUCUCUUACUACAUUAUCCAGUAGUCGAACCUGCCUUGCAGCUUCCUAAAGUUGGAUGUCCCGUGUUUUUAAUGUCACACCAUCCUGUUUCUAACUCGAUUUAAAAAGUCAUUUUGUUGAUUUCUGGCUCUGUGAAGGGAUUGUGGCCUCUCAGCAUCACGACCAGUGUGUGUAUGUGUGUGUGUGUGUGUGUGCGUGUGCGUCAUGGACAUUUUAGGCCGAUUUUCCAUUUGUAGAAUUCCAAAUUCGGCUUAUUACACUGUGUGUGCCUUAUUUUGGCCCACCCAUGUCCCGACUCCACAAAGGUUAAGGGAAAACCUGUGGGAAUGAGCCUAGUUUUCUAAUUUUUGCUCUCUCAGCUCAGCAACUAUGACUGGAGAUGGAAAAUAGAGCGUCGCAAUAGGAUUCACACCAGAAAAUCCCAAAUAAAUGGUGAAACUGAGUCCCUUCACGUUGCUUAACCAGGAUUGCAAGGCCUUUUCCUAGUUUGCCAGAGAAAUGAGGACACGCAAGUCUGAAAUGGGGAGUUCUGUCCCCCCUUGCGCUCCUGGGGAGUGCACCCCAGCAAGAAGAGCAUCUAAAGGGAAAAGACAAACCUGAAUGGGGGCGCUGUAGCCCUCGACCUCCUCCGAC